UUGCUUUGGCUUUCUUUCCACUUUUUUUCCUUCUCCGAAUCCAAAAGGUGCAACAACCAAAAAAUAAAAAAUAUACACAAAGCUCAUGAGAGAAUAUUUUGGUUUGGUGCAAUGAUAAAGAACCAUUCUGUCAAUCUCCUAACACAGAUGGAUAGCAGAUCCUACAUCCUAGAUGAUUACUGACAUUACAAUAUAUUUUGGAUUGACACGUUACAAUACUCAUUUUGAGAGGGAAAUGGUAACCCAGAGUAUUUUUUCCAACACUACUCGUCAUAACAAUAUCUCAAACACUAAACCUGUACAUCUUUAUUUUUAUUACAAUAAAGAAUAGUGGAAACACCUUUAUUGUAUUGAAAUUAACAAUUGGAAAACAUAACAUUACAUACCUUCCUCUUCCGAUAGAUUAGAGAAUUUUUCAAAUUUCAAUCCUUGAUCUUGUCAGCAGUAGUUUGAGUGUCACACAAAUUCUUUUCCUAUACUAAUCAGAAAGAGAAUAAAGAUAUUAUGCAAUUAUAUAAUUUAUUUGUGCUCUCUGAUAAAAAAUAGAGGGACCAUGAGCACAGAGUUAAAAAGCUAAUGUGCCUUCAAGUUAACUUUAAUCACAAACCUGUGUUUCAUGUAUAAUUUAAAGCUACAACAACAAAUAAUCAACUUACAUCAGGAUGAUUGUGAGGAAUAAUCAAUGGCUCCUUAGGGUUUCUCUUUACGUUUGAUGUUGUUGAUAAUCUAAUUGCAAACUUGGUUCUUGAACUUUGAUGAAGCCAAGAUUUGAAUUUUUUUGGGGCCAUGAAACUACUGAAGGUUGGUCAUUGAUGCCUGGAGUCGUCCUCACUUUCUUCUCACAACAUCUCUUUAGCUUUCUAUUUUUAGUCACUAUCACAUAACGUCUCUAAUUGUUCUUCCCAUAGUCCUUAAAAUUUGCCGAAAAUAAUUGGUUCUAAGUUUUUCUGAUUCUUAACGAAGAGAAUGUUGUCUAUAAGCAUUGAAAAUUAGGGACAAAAGUGUGGUGAAGCCGAUGAAGGUUGCAGGGCAUAGGUUGAAAUCCAAAUCAAAACCUGCCGGAAAUUCUCAUCCUCAGUUUAAGCCAUACAUUCAUUUUAAAUUUGCAAAAUCAUCAUUUUUCCUAUUUAAAGGUGAUUUUUUAGUAGGUACUACUAUCACGUUUCCAUAUUUGUCGCUCUUUUUCUCUUUUUUUAUUUCAAUCAUUCCUUUCCUUUUUGCUUUUGAUGUUCUGGUUAUGGAUUUUAUUAUAUUUAUCCUUUUCAGAACUUGACAUAGAAAACGACUUAAAAAUAUGCUAAGUGGACCUUUUUUCAGUCAUUAAAAAUGUAAGUGAUGCAUCUUUGGGUGUUGGAUAAUAGAUUAAAUUAUAGAAUACCCGGAAAAAGGAAGGGAGAAAAGUACUUUUAGGCAUAACGUCAAACACCUUUGCUACAUCAAUCCCUUUUCAUUACAAGUUUCAUUCCUGAUGGUAAAUUCUAUGUGCUUCCAUAGAAGAGUUUGGACUAACCACAUGCAUGUACAAAAUAUACUAAGAAAGCAUGAAGAAAACAGAAAUAUCAGAUAUAUUGAAGUUAAAUAUUCACAAUUAUACAUGGUGUACUAAGGAUAUUUAAGAAAAUGUUAAGAGAAUUUCAGAGGCAUUAUGAAAAUUGUAAAAUCAUCAUUCUCUAAAAAUAGAACGAACCUGGCAUGCCCAUUAAGAAAACCCAAGGAAAACUAAGAAGUAUUCAACUAUCACAUAUUAAUAGGAAUAGUAAUUUUGAAAUAAGUUCAGAAUCUAAGGCCAAAAGCAGGAGCAAGAAAAAUAAAAUGCACAAGAUGAGUAAGACAGAAAAAUAGUUGUUCAAGAUGGAGAAUUACUUUCUCUCUUGCCUGUUAUCUUCGCCAUUAUCUUCACAUGUGACUAAUUAACUGAAGAGUCAAAGGCACAAAAAUUUCUAGAAUAGCGGUAAAACAUUGAUGGAGAAUGAAUUUUACCAGCAGAUGAUUGAGAAAUGGAAGGAACAGGGUUAAUGGUAGGAGAAGAAUAA
rnacentral:lncRNA from 1 species